GACGAACGCUGGCGGCGUGCCUAAUACAUGCAAGUAGGACGCAGUUGCGAACGGGUGAGUCACGCGUAGGUAACUACCUAUUAGAGGGGUCUAACUAUUGGAAACGAUAGCUAAUACCUCAUACUAGUAGAUUGACCUGCGUUGUAUUAGCUAGUAGGUAGGGUAAUGGCCUACCUAGGCAGCGAUACAUAGCCGACCUGAGAGGGGGAUCGGACACAGUGGGACUGAGACACGACCCAGACUCCCACGGUAUGCAGCAGGAGGGAAUGUUCGGCAAUGGGGGGAAUCCUGAACGAGCAAGGCCGCGUGAGUAAAGAAGGUUUUAGGAGAGUAAAGCUCUGUUGUUAAGGAAGCGGUACUAAACCAGAAAGGGACGGCGAACUACGUGCCAGCAGCAGCUGUAAUAA
rnacentral:rRNA from 1 species